GGACGGGUGAGUAACGCGUAGGAAUCUACCCAGUAGCGGGGGAUAGCCCGGGGAAACCCGGAAUAAUACCGCAUACGCCCCACGGGGGAAAGAGGGCCUCUUCUUGAAAGCUCUCACUAUUGGAGGAGCCUGCGUUGGAUUAGCUAGUUGGUGGGGUAAAGGCUUACCAAGGCGACGAUCCAUAGCUGGUCUGAGAGGACGAUCAGCCACACUGGAACUGAGACACGGUCCAGACUCC
rnacentral:rRNA from 1 species